rnacentral:rRNA from 1 species
CCUACGGGUGGCAGCAGUGAGGAAUAUUGGUCAAUGGACGCAAGUCUGAACCAGCCAUGCCGCGUGCAGGAAGACGGCUCUAUGAGUUGUAAACUUCUUUUGUACGAGGGUAAACGCAGAUACGCGUAUCUGUCUGAAAGUAUCGUACGAAUAAGGAUCGGCUAACUCCGUGCCAGCAGCCGCGGUAAUACGGAGGAUUCAAGCGUUAUCCGGAUUUAUUGGGUUUAAAGGGUGCGUAGGAGGUCGGGUAAGUUAGAGGUGAAAUUCCGGGGCUCAACUUCGGAAUUGCCUCUGAUACUGGUCGGCUAGAGAGUAGUUGAGGUAGGCGGAAUGUAUGGUGUAGCGGUGAAAUGCUUAGAGAUCAUACAGAACACCGAUUGCGAAGGCAGCUUACCAAGCUACUUCUGACGUUGAGGCACGAAAGCGUGGGGAGCAAACAGGAUUAGAUACCCUUGUAGUC